GACGAACGCUGGCGGCGUGCUUAACACAUGCAAGUCGAACGGAAAGGCCCUGCUUUUGUGGGGUGCUCGAGUGGCGAACGGGUGAGUAACACGUGAGUAACCUGCCCUUGACUUUGGGAUAACUUCAGGAAACUGGGGCUAAUACCGGAUAGGAGCUCCUGCUGCAUGGUGGGGGUUGGAAAGUUUCGGCGGUUGGGGAUGGACUCGCGGCUUAUCAGCUUGUUGGUGGGGUAGGGGCUUACCAAGGCUUUGACGGGUAGCCGGCCUGAGAGGGUGACCGGCCACAUUGGGACUGAGAUACGGCCCAGACUCCUACGGGAGGCAGCAGUGGGGAAUAUUGCACAAUGGGCGGAAGCCUGAUGCAGCAACGCCGCGUGCGGGAUGACGGCCUUCGGGUUGUAAACCGCUUUCGCCUGUGACGAAGCGUGAGUGACGGUAAUGAGUAAAGAAGCACCGGCUAACUACGUG
rnacentral:rRNA from 1 species